CUGGGCUACGGGGACAUGUACCCCAAGACGUGGUCAGGCAUGCUGGUAGGGGCGCUGUGUGCACUGGCCGGAGUGCUCACCAUCGCCAUGCCUGUGCCAGUCAUCGUCAACAAC
rfam:Ictidomys tridecemlineatus contig096672, whole genome shotgun sequence.